GGCAGUUAAUUAAUAAUAAUUUUAAUUUCAAAAAUUAAAUAAAUAAUCCAAUAUUAUUGAAACGAUCAAGUUACCAUAGGGAUAACAGCGUAAUAAUUUUCUAAAGCUCCUAUAAAAACAAUAGUUUGCGACCUCGAUGUUGAAUUAAUUACCUAAUCAGAGCAAAAGCUGAUCAAGGAAGUCUGUUCGACUUUUAAAAAAUUACAUGAUUUGAGUUCAGACCGGUAUAAGCCAGGUCGGUUUCUAUCUUCUAUUUAAUCCUUACAGUACGAAAGGGCCCAAGGAACUAAUUAAAUUAAACUAAUUGGCAGAAAAAUGCAUUAGAAUUAGAAUCUAAUAAAACUAACAUACCAUUUAUCAUAUCAUAUCUAAUCAUUAUUAUCAGA
rnacentral:rRNA from 1 species